UACGUAGGGGGCUAGCGUUGUCCGGAUUUAUUGGGCGUAAAGAGCGUGUAGGCGGCCAUGUAGGUCCGGUGUGAAAACUCGAGGCUUAACCUCGAGAUGUCAUCGGAAACCAUUUGGCUAGAGUCCGGAAGAGGAGAGUGGAAUUCCUGGUGUAGCGGUGAGAUGCGCAGAUAUCAGGAAGAACACCAAUGGCGAAAGCAGCUCUCUGGGACGGUACUGACGCUGAGACGCGAAAGCGUGGGGAGCGAACAGG
rnacentral:rRNA from 1 species